GAGAGGUGCUGACAAAGGAGUAGGUUGCUCCGCGAGUGUACCAAGCGCUCACUGUUUACACUGCUCCGUUCCAGCUCCGUCCUCCCAGCCGUGAAGUAUGGAGCGAACUGACUUGAAUUUGGCAUCAGCUGUACAGCUCCAAGAAGGACGCUUUCUAAGCUGUCUCAAGCCCUAGCUAACUUUCCCACAGAGCCAAGUAACUGGCAAAUUUUCUGCCAGUGGUGAGUAUGGUGCAGCAUCUUCGUGGAUUAAAGGACAAAAAGGAGACUGAAAAGUAGCAACGAAAGGAGCUUCCAUUCUCCAUUCCAUUCCAUAAUGUCAUCAUCAGUGGCAGUUUCUGUGGAGAAGGCUAUUAUCUUAUAGGUGGUGGUGGUGAUGAUUAUUAUUUUUAGUUCAAGGUUCUGCUUUCGCCAGAUCUCUCAUUUGGUGCUAUCUAACACCCAAGUCAGUCUUUUUACUCCAGCGUCUCUCAUGAUGUACUGAAGAGAUGGAUUUGACUCCAGUGGUGCUUGCUUGUGGGGGUGCACAUUGGGCCAGACCCACUGGAUCUGAAGGACCUUUGCUUUUCCUGUUCCAGUUCUCUGGGACAACAUGAAUCAAUGACAGGAGAUGAUCAGGAACAUACAGAAACGGAUCCUCAGGAACAUGCCAUCAAAUGGGGACUGACUUGA